UACGUAGGGUCCGAGCGUUGUCCGGAAUUACUGGGCGUAAAGCGCGCGCAGGCGGCCCGCGAGGUGUCACGUGAAAGCCCCGGGCUCAACCCGGGAGGGUCGUGGCAAACCGGCGGGCUUGAGGCCGGUAGAGGUGGGUGGAACUCCUGGUGGAGUGGUGAAAUGCGUAGAGAUCAGGAAGAACGCCCGUGGCGAAGGCGGCCCACUGGGCCGGUACUGACGCUGAGGCGCGAAGGCGUGGGGAGCGAACGGG
rnacentral:rRNA from 1 species